AGAAGUGUGAUUCGGGCGGAUGAAGAGAGCUUGCUCUCUGAUUCAGCGGCGGACGGGUGAAAAAUGCCUAGGAAUCUGCCUGGUAGUGGGGGACAACGUCCCGAAAGGGACGCUAAUACCGCAUACGUCCUACGGGAGAAAGCAGGGGACCUUCGGGCCUUGCGCUAUCAGAUGAGCCUAGGUCGGAUUAGCUAGUUGGUGAGGUAAUGGCUCACCAAGGCGACGAUCCGUAACUGGUCUGAGAGGAUGAUCAGUCACACUGGAACUGAGACACGGUCCAGACUCCUACGGGAGGCAGCAGUGGGGAAUAUUGGACAAUGGGCGAAAGCCUGAUCCAGCCAUGCCGCGUGUGUGAAGAAGGUCUUCGGAUUGUAAAGCACUUUAAGUUGGGAGGAAGGGUUGUAGAUUAAUACUCUGCAAUUUUGACGUUACCGACAGAAUAAGCACCGGCUAACUCUGUGCCAGCAGCCGCGGUAAUACAGAGGGUGCAAGCGUUAAUCGGAAUUACUGGGCGUAAAGCGCGCGUAGGUGGUUUGUUAAGUUGGAUGUGAAAGCCCCGGGCUCAACCUGGGAACUGCAUUCAAAACUGACAAGCUAGAGUAUGGUAGAGGGUGGUGGAAUUUCCUGUGUAGCGGUUGAAAUGCGUAGAUAUAGGAAGGAACACCAGUGGCGAAGGCGACCACCUGGACUGAUACUGACCACUGAGGUGCGAAAGCGUGGGGAGCAAACAGGAUUAGAUACCCUGUAGUCACGCCGUAAACGAUUCACCUAGCCGUUGGGACCUUAGCUCUAGUGGCGCAGCUACGCAUUAGUUGACCGCCUGGGGAGUACGGCCGCAAGGUAAAAUUCAAAUGAAUUGACGGGGGCCCGCACAAGCGGUGGAGCAUGUGGUUUAAUUUGAAGCAACGCGAAGAACCUUACCAGGCCUUGACAUCCAAUGAACUUUCCAGAGAUGGAUUGGUGCCUUCGGGAACAUUGAGACAGGUGCUGCAUGGCUGUCGUCAGCUCGUGUCGUGAGAUGUUGGGUUAAGUCCCGUAACGAGCGCAACCCUUGUCCUUAGUUACCAGCACGUUAUGGUGGGCACUCUAAGGAGACUGCCGGUGACAAACCGGAGGAAGGUGGGGAUGACGUCAAGUCAUCAUGGCCCUUACGGCCUGGGCUACACACGUGCUACAAUGGUCGGUACAGAGGGUUGCCAAGCCGCGAGGUGGAGCUAAUCCCACAAAACCGAUCGUAGUCCGGAUCGCAGUCUGCAACUCGACUGCGUGAAGUCGGAAUCGCUAGUAAUCGCGAAUCAGAAUGUCGCGGUGAAUACGUUCCCGGGCCUUGUACACACCGCCCUUCACACCAUGGGAGUGGGUUUAUCCUGAAGCCUCUAGCAGGAAGUCGUAACAAGGGGUCC
rnacentral:rRNA from 1 species